UACGUAGGGACCAAGCGUUGUUCGGAUUUACUGGGCGUAAAGGGCGCGUAGGCGGCUUGUCAAGUCACUUGUGAAAUCUCUGGGCUUAACCCAGAACGGCCAAGUGAAACUGACAUGCUAGAGUGCAGAAGGGGCAAUCGGAAUUCUUGGUGUAGCGGUGAAAUGCGUAGAUAUCAAGAGGAACACCUGAGGUGAAGACGGGUUGCUGGGCUGACACUGACGCUGAGGAGCGAAAGCGUGGGGAGCGAACAGG
rnacentral:rRNA from 1 species